rnacentral:rRNA from 1 species
UUGAACGCUGGCGGCAUGCUUUACCCAUGCAAGUCGAACGGUAACAGACCGCAAGGUGCUGACGAGUGGCGAACGGGUGAGUAAUGCAUCGGAACGUGCCCAGUCGUGGGGGAUAACUACUCGAAAGAGUAGCUAAUACCGCAUACGAUCUAUGGAUGAAAGCGGGGGACCGUAAGGCCUCGCGCGAUUGGAGCGGCCGAUGUCAGAUUAGGUAGUUGGUGGGGUAAAGGCUCACCAAGCCAACGAUCUGUAGCUGGUCUGAGAGGACGACCAGCCACACUGGGACUGAGACACGGCCCAGACUCCUACGGGAGGCAGCAGUGGGGAAUUUUGGACAAUGGGCGCAAGCCUGAUCCAGCAAUGCCGCGUGCAGGAAGAAGGCCUUCGGGUUGUAAACUGCUUUUGUACGGAACGAAACGGCUCUGGUUAAUACCCGGGGCUAAUGACGGUACCGUAAGAAUAAGCACCGGCUAACUACGUG